GUGAAGUCGUAACAAGGUAACCGUAGGGGAACCUGCGGUUGGAUCACCUCCUUACCUUAAAGAAGCG
rnacentral:rRNA from 1 species